GUGGGGAAUUUUGGGCAAUGGGCGAAAGCCUGACCCAGCAACGCCGCGUGGAGGACGAAGACUUUCGGGUCGUAAACUCCUGUCCGAAGGGACGAAGACAGUGACGGUACCUUUGGAGGAAGCCCCGGCUAACUCCGUGCCAGCAGCCGCGGUAAUACGGGGGGGGCAAGCGUUGUUCGGAAUUACUGGGCGUAAAGGGCGCGUAGGCGGUUUCGGCAGUCAUGGGUGAAAGCCCUCGGCUCAACCGGGGAAUGGCCUGUGAAACCACGGAACUGGAGUGCUGGAGAGGGAAGCGGAAUUCCCAGUGUAGCGGUGAAAUGCGUAGAUAUUGGGAGGAACACCGGAGGCGAAGGCGGCUUCCUGGACAGACACUGACGCUGAGGCGCGAAAGCCAGGGGAGCAAACGGGAUUAGAAACCCUAGUAGUCC
rnacentral:rRNA from 1 species